GGGCCUGCCCACUCCUCCCAGGGCCCCUGACCACUUUCCUGAGCAGGCCCCUGUGCCUCUGUCCCCUCUAUGUACUUCCUUUCCUCAGAGAGGAGCAAAGAGAGAACCAGACCAGGCCAGAGAGCCAAGGAAGCCCUGUGGAAAGCUUCAAUGCUCUGGCCCCGGUGACCCAUGGGCUUCAGAGGCCUGAGCUCUCAAAGCCGAUCCUCCCACUCCCGUUUCUCCCCUCCUCAAACACUGCAAGCUCUGCACCACAAAAUGUCCGGAUGCAGGUUUCCUCGUAAGCCCUCAGGAUUGUCAGAGAUAACUCAAGGUUUUGUCAAUAAUAGCUACGACCUGUUCAUACUAUCAAGAAUAAGGCACAGCGCUAUGUGUAGGGACCUGCCUACUUAGCUGUGUGACCUCAGAUGGAAACUUCACCCUGUGCCAUGAAUGCAUCUGGGGAAGGAGAACGUUUUGGCAGACUAGCCAGGCCUCCAGUGAGAACCACAGAUCAUCGGGAAAAUCACACCACAAAAUGGGGCAGCAGCAAAACCAGAUUUCCACACUGGCCUGAGGCAAGAACAAUGGGUCCAAUGGCCAAGAGCCUGUCGCACCAUCAUGGCAAAGAAGUUAGUUCAAAAGAGUGGUGAGGGGCACCUGGGUGGCUCAGUGGGUUAAAGCCU